CCUACGGGUGGCAGCAGUGGGGAAUAUUGCACAAUGGGCGAAACCCUGAUGCAGCGACGCCGCGUGAGUGAAGAAGUAUUUCGGUAUGUAAAGCUCUAUCAGCAGGGAAGAAAAUGACGGUACCUGAUUCAGAAGCCCCGGCUAACUACGUGCCAGCAGCCGCGGUAAUACGUAGGGGGCAAGCGUUAUCCGGAUGUACUGGGUGUAAAGGGAGCGUAGACGGCAGGACAAGUCUGGAGUGAAAUGCCGGGGCUUAACCCGGGAACUGCUUUGGAAACUGGGCAGCUAGAGUGCAGGAGAGGUAGGUGGAAUUCCUGGUGUAGCGGUGAAAUGCGUAGAGAUCAGGAGGAACACCGGUGGCGAAGGCGGCUUACUGGACUGUGACUGACGUUGAGGCUCGAAAGCGUGGGGAGCAAACAGGAUUAGAUACCCUAGUAGUC
rnacentral:rRNA from 1 species